AUUGAACGCUGGCGGCAGGCCUAACACAUGCAAGUCGAACGGUAACAGGAAGCAGCUUGCUGCUUUGCUGACGAGUGGCGGACGGGUGAGUAAUGUCUGGGAAACUGCCCGAUGGAGGGGGAUAACUACUGGAAACGGUAGCUAAUACCGCAUAAUGUCGCAAGACCAAAGAGGGGGACCUUCGGGCCUCUUGCCAUCGGAUGUGCCCAGAUGGGAUUAGCUUGUUGGUGAGGUAACGGCUCACCAAGGCGACGAUCCCUAGCUGGUCUGAGAGGAUGACCAGCCACACUGGAACUGAGACACGGUCCAGACUCCUACGGGAGGCAGCAGUGGGGAAUAUUGCACAAUGGGCGCAAGCCUGAUGCAGCCAUGCCGCGUGUAUGAAGAAGGCCUUCGGGUUGUAAAGUACUUUCAGCGGGGAGGAAGGGGGUAAGGUUAAUAACCUUAGCCAUUGACGUUACCCGCAGAAGAAGCACCGGCUAACUCCGUGCCAGCAGCCGCGGUAAUACGGAGGGUGCAAGCGUUAAUCGGAAUUACUGGGCGUAAAGCGCACGCAGGCGGUCUGUCAAGUCGGAUGUGAAAUCCCCGGGCUCAACCUGGGAACUGCAUUCGAAACUGGCAGGCUUGAGUCUCGUAGAGGGGGGUAGAAUUCCAGGUGUAGCGGUGAAAUGCGUAGAGAUCUGGAGGAAUACCGGUGGCGAAGGCGGCCCCCUGGACGAAGACUGACGCUCAGGUGCGAAAGCGUGGGGAGCAAACAGGAUUAGAUACCCUGGUAGUCCACGCCGUAAACGAUGUCUAUUUGGAGGUUGUGCCCUUGAGGCGUGGCUUCCGGAGCUAACGCGUUAAAUAGACCGCCUGGGGAGUACGGCCGCAAGGUUAAAACUCAAAUGAAUUGACGGGGCCCGCACAAGCGGUGGAGCAUGUGGUUUAAUUCGAUGCAACGCGAAGAACCUUACCUGGUCUUGACAUCCACAGAAUUUCUCAGAGAUGAGGAAGUGCCUUCGGGAACUGUGAGACAGGUGCUGCAUGGCUGUCGUCAGCUCGUGUUGUGAAAUGUUGGGUUAAGUCCCGCAACGAGCGCAACCCUUAUCCUUUGUUGCCAGCGAUUCGGUCGGGAACUCAAAGGAGACUGCCAGUGAUAAACUGGAGGAAGGUGGGGAUGACGUCAAGUCAUCAUGGCCCUUACGACCAGGGCUACACACGUGCUACAAUGGCAUAUACAAAGAGAAGCGACCUCGCGAGAGCAAGCGGACCUCAUAAAGUAUGUCGUAGUCCGGAUUGGAGUCUGCAACUCGACUCCAUGAAGUCGGAAUCGCUAGUAAUCGUGGAUCAGAAUGCCACGGUGAAUACGUUCCCGGGCCUUGUACACACCGCCCGUCACACCAUGGGAGUGGGUUGCAAAAGAAGUAGGUAGCUUAACCUUCGGGAGGGCGCUUACCACUUUGUGAUUCAUGACUGGGGUGA
rnacentral:rRNA from 1 species